rnacentral:rRNA from 1 species
UUCGUAGGCGGUGUGGCAAGUCGGGAGUGAAAUCUCUGGGCUUAACUCAGAGGCUGCUUCCGAAACUGCCGUGCUAGAGUACGGGAUAGGCGAGUGGAAUUGCAGGUGUAGCGGUGAAAUGCGUAGAUAUCUGCAGGAACACCCGUGGCGAAGGCGGCUCGCUGGACCGUAACUGACGCUGAGGAACGAAAGCUAGGGGAGCAAACAGGAUUAGAUACCCUGGUAGUCCUAGCCCUAAACGAUCAGGACUUGGGGUGCAUCCCGUUGGGGGUGCGUCCCGUAGCUAACGCGUUAAGUCCUGCGCCUGGGGAGUACGGUCGCAAGGCUGAA